rnacentral:rRNA from 1 species
CCUACGGGAGGCAGCAGUGGGGGAUAUUGCACAAUGGGCGAAAGCCUGAUGCAGCGACGCCGCGUGAGGGAAGACGGUCUUCGGAUUGUAAACCUCUGUCUUUGGGGAAGAAGAUGACGGUACCCAAAGAGGACGCUCCGGCUAACUACGUGCCAGCAGCCGCGGUACUACGUAGGGAGCGAGCGUUAUCCGGAUUUAUUGGGUUUACAGGGUGCGCAGGCGGAGGUGCAAGUCAGCGGUCAAAGUGCGGGGCUCAACCCCGUACUGCCGUUGAAACUGCAUCCCUGGAGUGCGCGAGAAGUAGGCGGAAUGCGUGGUGUAGCGGUGAAAUGCAUAGAUAUCACGCAGAACUCCGAUUGCGAAGGCAGCAUACCGGCGCGCAACUGACGCUCAUGCACGAAAGCGUGGGUAUCGAACAGGAUUAGAUGCCCGUGUAGUC